rnacentral:tRNA from 1 species
AAUAAAGUAAGCUAAUAUUAAGCUAUUGGGUUCAUACCCCAAAUAUGAUUUUAAAUCCUUUAUUA